rnacentral:rRNA from 1 species
UACGGAGGAUGCGAGCGUUAUCCGGAUUUAUUGGGUUUAAAGGGUGCGUAGGCGGACUGUCAAGUCAGCGGUAAAAUACGGGGGCUCAACCUCCGCCCGCCGUUGAAACUGACGGUCUUGAGUGGGCGAGAAGUAUGCGGAAUGCGUGGUGUAGCGGUGAAAUGCAUAGAUAUCACGCAGAACUCCGAUUGCGAAGGCAGCAUGCCGGCUUCCUACUGACGCUGAAGCACGAAAGCGUGGGGAUCGAACAGG